rnacentral:lncRNA from 1 species
CUCACCCAAUUACCUUUCCUAGUAUAUCUUCAUCUUGUUAAAGUGUAUGAGAACUGCUUUGGAGAGUCUAAUAAGUCCAAAUGAGCAUUAAAAAGGAGAGAGAGUAGGAGAAGUAUCUCUUGAGAAAGAUUAAAAAGCGAGCACAGGCUGAGUGCAGUGGGUCACGCCUGUAGUCUCAGCACUUUGGGAGGUCGAGGUAGGCAGAUUGCUGGAACUCAGGAGUUCGAGACCAGCCUGGACAACAUGGCAAAAUCCUGUUUCUACAAAAGGACUGUUUUCUAUUUGAUUGGGAAGUGUUAGAAUGGCAACAGUGACAAAUCCUGUGGCAAAUCUUCAUGCAAAGGUCUUUGGUGUUUCUUUAAUUUCAUAUAUAUUACCUACUAUGUGACAAGCACACUGUGCCAGGUUCCAAAUAUAAAAGAGUAAAUUAAGGAAUGCAUUAUAGCUGUUAAAGCAAUCUUAAGGGAAAUCCGAAGCUUCCACUGCAGCACCAUGCUUAGUAAAACCAACUGGAUAAUAUGUUGAUGAUAGCUCUACAGAUGGAUCCAGCCCUAGAUAAAUCUCUGCAUCUUAUUUUUUCCAACUCUGCUUUCCCUUGAUGAACAAUUUCCAACUAUCAUGUGACCCAAGAAUACAAUGAGGAGAAAUUUCAUCAAAAUCAAGGACGAGGAUGUCAGUUUCUGAUGAAAGAUGCAUGGCAAAGUAGCAUCCUAAAGGAGUCAUUUUUAUAUCUCUGUAAAGGAGGUAUCAUUCACAAUCAUGAAUUGAGUACCCUUUUGGCAUAACAUGA